CAGCCGCCGCGGUAAAACGAACCGUGCGAACGUUAUUCGGAAUUACUGGGCUUAAAGCGCGUGUAGGCGGGCCGCCACGUCGGUUGCUGAAAUCCCCCGGCUCAACCGGGGAAGUGGCAUCGAUACGAGCGGCCUUGAGGGGGGUAGGGGGAUCUGGAACUUCCGGUGGAGCGGUGAAAUGCGUUGAGAUCGGAAGGAACGCCCGUGGCGAAAGCGAGGUCCUGGACCCUUUCUGACGCUGAGACGCGAAAGCCAGGGGAGCGAACGGGAUUAGAUACCCCCGUAGUCCCUGUCUCUUAUA
rnacentral:rRNA from 1 species